rnacentral:rRNA from 1 species
AGCGAACGCUGGCGGCAGGCCUACACAUGCAAGUCGAACGAAGUCUUCGGACUUAGUGGCGGACGGGUGAGUAACACGUGGGAACGUACCUUUUGGUUCGGAACAACUCAGGGAAACUUGAGCUAAUACCGGAUGAGCCCUUCGGGGGAAAGAUUUAUCGCCAUUAGAGCGGCCCGCGUUAGAUUAGCUAGUUGGUGAGGUAAAGGCUCACCAAGGCUACGAUCUAUAGCUGGUCUGAGAGGAUGAUCAGCCACACUGGGACUGAGACACGGCCCAGACUCCUACGGGAGGCAGCAGUGGGGAAUCUUGCGCAAUGGGCGAAAGCCUGACGCAGCCAUGCCGCGUGAAUGAUGAAGGUCUUAGGAUUGUAAAAUUCUUUUACCAGGGACGAUAAUGACGGUACCUGGAGAAAAAGCCCCGGCUAACUUCGUGCCAGCAGCCGCCGUAA